AAAUCACUGCUGCUGCAAUAGAGUCAGCUGGAAGGAUUUUGUGCUUCAGGUGCGUCUGCACAGCAUCCUGCCGCUUAGCUGAAGUGGCAUGGAGAGAUGGCUUAAAGACAGAUGACAGACUAUGCACCCUACAGCUAAGGCAUGGAUUUCAUUAUUCUAAACUUCCUUCUGAAUGUCUUACAUUAACCUUCUCCUCUACUCUCUGCUACUCCAAAGAUUUGGCAAUUAUGCCAUCCCUUUCUUUGCCUGCCAAAAUGUAACAACAAAAGUAAAAAUCGAGGAACUGAAAAAGAGAGG